GAUGAACGCUAGCGGCAGGCCUAAUACAUGCAAGUCGAGGGGCAGCGCGGUAGCAAUACUGGCGGCGACCGGCGCACGGGUGCGUAACACGUAUGCAACCUACCUUCAACUGGAGGAUAGCCCGGGGAAACUCGGAUUAAUACUCCAUAACACAGGGAUCCCGCAUGGGAAUAUGUUAAAGCUACGGCGGUUGAAGAUGGGCAUGCGUUCGAUUAGCUAGUUGGUGUAGGUAACGGCUCACCAAGGCUAACGAUCGAUAGGGGGUCUGAGAGGAUGAUCCCCCACACUGGUACUGAGAUACGGACCAGA
rnacentral:rRNA from 1 species